GACGAACGCUGGCGGCGUGCUUAACACAUGCAAGUCGAACGGAAAGGCCCCUUUGGGGGUACUCGAGUGGCGAACGGGUGAGUAACACGUGAGUAACCUGCCCUUGACUUCGGGAUAACUUCAGGAAACUGGGGCUAAUACCGGAUAGGAAUCCUUGCUGCAUGGUGGGGGUUGGAAAGCUUCGGCGGUUUUGGAUGGACUCGCGGCUUAUCAGCUUGUUGGUGGGGUAGUGGCUUACCAAGGCUUUGACGGGUAGCCGGCCUGAGAGGGCGACCGGCCACAUUGGGACCGAGAGACGGCCCAGACUCCUAAGGGAGGCAGCAGGGGGGAAUAUUGCACAAUGGGCGGAAGCCUGAUGCAGCAACGCCGCGUGCGGGAUGACGGCCUUCGGGUUGGAAACCGCUUUCAGCAGGGGCGAAGCUUGUGGUGACGGUACCUGCAGAAGAAGCACCGGCUAACUACGUG
rnacentral:rRNA from 1 species